ACGUAGGAGGCGAGCGUUGUCCGGAAUCAUUGGGCGUAAAGAGCGCGUAGGCGGCAUGACAAGUCUGGGGUGAAAUCCCUGGGCUCAACCCCGGUUUCGCACCCGAUACUGGCGAGCUUGAGUGCAGGAGAGGCGAGCGGAAUUCCCAGUGUAGCGGUGAAAUGCGUAGAUAUUGGGAGGAACACCGGUGGCGAAGGCGGCUCUCUGGACUGUCACUGACGCUGAGGCGCGAAAGCUAGGGGAGCAAACGG
rnacentral:rRNA from 1 species